rnacentral:rRNA from 1 species
UACAGGGGGUGCAAACGUUGCUCGGAAUUACUGGGCGUAAAGAGCGCGCAGGCGGUCGAUCAAGUCGCGUGUGAAAGCCCCCGGCUCAACUGGGGAGGGUCACGCGAUACUGAUCGACUCGAAGGCAGGAGAGGGUAGUGGAAUUCCCGGUGUAGUGGUGAAAUGCGUAGAUAUCGGGAGGAACACCAGUGGCGAAGGCGACUACCUGGCCUGUUCUUGACGCUGAGGCGCGAAAGCUAGGGGAGCAAACGGG